rnacentral:rRNA from 1 species
GAUGAAUGCUGGCGGCGUGCCUAAUACAUGCAAGUCGAGCGGUAGCAGGGCUUCACCGUUCUCUUGUCGCACUUGGCCUAUGUGCAAGUGGUCUGAUACGAGGGAACAGUGAAGCUGCUGACGAGCGGCGGACGGCUGAGUAACGCGUGGGAACAUACCCCAAACUGAGGGAUAACUACUCGAAAGAGUGGCUAAUACCGCAUAUGAUCUUCGGAUUAAAGCUUUCGGGCGGUUUGGGAAUGGCCUGCGUACGAUUAGAUAGUUGGUGAGGUAAUGGCUCACCAAGUCGACGAUCGUUAGAUGGUUUGAGAGGAUGAUCAUCCAGACUGGGACUGAGACACGGCCCAG